AUGGCCGGAGGCGACGCGUCGACCGUGGCGGGGCCAGGGGCGGAGGUGGACGCGGGCUUCGAGUUCGCCUUCGACAAUGAGGCCUUCUCCGACAGGGAGCUGCGUAUAGUGGUCGUCGGCGCCGACGACGCCGCCGGCCGCAAGCGCCGGCGCGAGGCGGCCGAAGGUGAUGGUGGAGAAGAUAUCGACUCUUCUUGUACUGUGACGAGUACACCAGUUUUACAAGUUGAAACUAUACAUGUCUGCUCGGCGACUCUUGCUGCAAAAAGUAAUUUCUUUCGCAAGCUUUUCUCAAAUGGCAUGAAGGAAUCUGGCCAUAGACAGGCAACAGUUACAAUUGCUGACUCGGAGUACGAAGCCUUCCUGGAGCUUUUACACUUUAUUUAUAGUGGAAAGCUGACACCAACUGAACCCAUUCUUGUGGUUGAUAUCCUGCUGGCUGCUGAUAAAUUUGAGGUUGCUUCUUGCAUUAAGCUUUGCGGUGAACGGCUCGUAGACCUGCCUAUGACCGCAGAAUCUGCAGUAAUGUGCCUAGAUCUCCCAUGUUCCAUUUCAAUGGCACCUGCCCUGGCAGAGGCGGCCAAGAAAUUCCUUGCUAAAAGAUACGAUAAAUUCCUGUUGACAAAGUUUCAGGAUGAACUGAUGAGGAUAUCUCUCACUGGGAUUGUAGCCAUUUUAUCAAGGAAUCACCCCGGGGUUGCAUCUGAAGAGUCCGUCUAUGACUUUGUGCUCAGGUGGGCCCACUUUCAGUAUCCAAAUCCAGAAGAGAGGCACAAGAUUUUGAGUUCAAGCUUACUUCCACUGGUGCCAGUAGUGCGCAGCAUGACCAAUGGCAUCCUGAUUGACCAGCCGUCCUGUAUAGUUGACUUUACUCAGUCGUGGGCAAUGCUCGGGGCUCUUCCCAUCAGGAUCGAUACGCUCCCCGCCGUUCUAUUGUGGAGGGCAUGGUUUCUUCCUCUCGGCGCACGGUAA
rnacentral:rRNA from 1 species